CAUAAAACAUUAUCAUGUAAUGUUUCUUACUGUAUGUGUAUUGAACCUUGCGCUGAAUGUUAGCAGUCCAUUAUCGUAAACAUGUAUUAUUUAUUUUACAGAAUCUUGUCAAACAAAUCAAUGGCUGAAAUACAUCAAGUGGAGCAAAAUCAAAAUUCAGUUUUGGGAAUUCCAGUCUAUAAAAUCAGUGAAGAGGUUAAAUAUACUGCAAAAGUAUAAAGAUGUCACUGAGAAACACAUAUCUGAUAAAGAUCCCUCCUGCUUGAACUUGAAGUCUGCCUCAGAAAGAUCUCAGAGUGGUGGAAGAAAGUUGACAUGCAAAAAGGACAAAAAGAGACAAAGAUAGCAAAUGAAUUUAUGAAAUAAAUGUUGUAUCAAAAGAAAUAUUGUAUUACUAAAUUUGAUAUUGUUCCUCAGUAAAUUUGUAUUCAUUUAA